AUAUAUGUGUAUACAUAUUUGUAUGUCAUGUAGGUAUUUUUUCUGUUUUAUCGUGCAGUGUAUAUUACAUAUUGCUAAAUACAGUUUAUUUAGUAGUAAUAAUUUUAUGUACAACGCUAUUUUAUAGAUGAUCCCCAAGAUGCAGAAGUAGCUAAAAUGUAUAAAGAGAAUUACUCCCUUUUCAUCAAAACUGCAAGUAUGUGGACCAAAACAUUUGCAACAGGUCCAAAAAUGGAACCAAGAGAAGUUAUUAUUAAAAAAAUUACAGAAAUGGGAUUUACAGAAGACCAAGAAAAAAACGCUUUGAUAAAGGCAGAUUGGAAUGAAACAGUGGCAUUAAAUACCCUACUAGAGAAUUUAUAAUUUAUUCAUUAGACAAAAUUACAUUACUAUUACGUUGUUUAAUACAAAUAUUUUUUUCUUAAAAAUGUUUAGCAUAUAAAAUUAAGAAUGUUGUUAAUUUUUUUUCUUUUCUUAUUUUUUUUCUUAAUUCAAAUAUUUACAUUUUAUUAAUA